CUCACUAGAGACAGACAGAGACAGAGACAGACAGGAUGAGGAGGGGUAUGGUCAAACCAAAAUCCCUUCACCUCCAUGUCUCGCUCCCCUCGAGAUUUGGGGCAUAUGCACAUGACACGCCCAGGAGGUUCCUCAGGCUACCAGGUCUAAGACUGAAACCUUGUGUUUAGCCAUUUUGGGAUCCAGCUGUCUUAUGCACCAGGCCAUGGAGUUAGCCCUCUACCCUGCUUUACAGGCACCCAAGUAUCCUUUGAUAACCUGAUCUCCUCUCGACCACACCUUGAUGCUGGACUAAGCCAUUGGUCUGCUCUCCCUGAUCCCGCUCCUAAUAGCGCUGGCUUGAAACCCACACGGUCUGAGAGCAGGGCAGAAAUGUGUCUGUGAAAGCACAAUACAGAAGACAUAAGUGUGGACUAGCCCCUCAGGAGUCAGGAAGGGGAAAGAUCACCCUACCGGGUGGGGAAGGAAGGCUGUGGGCCUGCAAGUUGGAAGGCUGAACUCCAAGCACCCACAGGGCCUCAGAUGACCAGCACAGAGCCUUUUCUUCCAUGUGUUACCCCUGAACCUGCCUUACUGGUGUCACAGACAGUGCCCAGAUCCUAAAAGGAACUUCCUUCAACUCUUCAUAACUUGUCCCCAGAAAUGUCUGCAGCCCACUCCUCCCCAACUGUCCUCCAAAGGCCCAGACCACUCAGUCAGGAAGGAAAGCUACCAAAUAUACUUCAGUUAUCCUCAAUAAAAGAACUUCUACAGGAAGGCAGGAGGCGCUCAGCCCUGCACUCAAGAACUGCAACCCUUCUGGUGCUCACAGGAGUCCCACCUCCUGUCUGAAGUUCCUGCUGGUUCCUCACCCUGAAUCAACCAGCAGGUUUCUGGCACUAGGACCCUGCAGACAGGGAGCCCUGAGCCUGCGCUCUACCGAGAGAGAUGCACCAUUUCACAACUUCAGCAAAAACCAAAGCCGCCAACAAAGCCACAGCCACCUCAGCUGUGCUGGGCUCUGCCGUUUGGGCAGCUCGCAGGCCACUCCCCAGAAGCAGAGCGUUCUGUCCUGUCUCUUUUUAAAUGCACGUCAUCGUCUGAUCAUAAUGGAAAUCAAUCUCCUCAAGCCACCACGCAAAGGCGUAUCCAUGGCAACCUCAAGAGGAAGGACACAGAGCCUGGCUGCAGCAGGGAAAGCAAUCGAGACUACUGAUCUUUCCUGGCUUCCUAGACAACACUGCCUCUUACCCGGCACACCACUCCCCAUCGGAGACACUUUCUCCCAUCCUUCUCUCUCUCUCUCUCUUCAGGCCCUAUAGCAAAAACCUCUCCAAAAAAAAGAAAAUGAAGACAAAUCACUCUUGGAUGCCUCACCCAUAAAACAAGUAGCUUGGAUUUUGCAGUCCAUCAAGUGAAAAAUGGCAAACUCUCUCACAGCUCUGCAACUCUCACUCCCUUACGUAAACCAGAGGAGCGAGCGGACAGCAUGGAUCCAGGCUCUCCUGACUGUGAUGAACAAAGAUUUCUCAACCAUGUGCCCCAGGGAAACCUGUCGUGGGUACGGGUUCCGGGACGCCUAGGACGCUCCCAGGAAAGGAGGGGAACCCUCGCGGUUCUGGAGGAACUCUGAGGCGCGCUCUGACCCCGGGGCACACGGCCAGGCUGAGAGCUCAGGUGGGUCGGAGAAGCCGGCGGUCCAGCACUCGGGCGGAGUCCUGGGA